rnacentral:lncRNA from 1 species
GGACUUACAUGUAACAAGCCUGUUCCCUAACUUGAAUUAAAAAAAAAUUGGGCUGUAUUUCCAACUCUAAUGGAAAAAUACUGAAGUUGCAAGAUUCUCAAACCAACCAAAACACAGAGAAGACUCACUCCCAUGGCAACAGUUGUGACACAAGAACUUAUCCCUGUCACCAAGACAAGUAUAAGUGCAAUACAUUAAUAAGUCUGUCACCCAAAACUCAAAGGAAAAGGAAUUAAAUGAAGUAAAGUGAGUCGUCCCUAACAGAGAUCUUCAAAGACAGGAGAUUCUCAGUAACUCCAUCAAUGUAGUCAUCAUCCUGCUUUUCAUCCUCAUCUUCAUUGCAUCAUUCAUCUAACAGUCGCUAUUUUCAUUCCUUUCUUGGUAAGUUUGCAAUCAUGCAUUUAUAGAAUGGUUUCUCUUACUUUAAAAAGGAUCACAUAAGGUGGAAGGCAGAUGACUAUAGAAUUACCUGAGACAAGGGACUGUAUAAUAUUCACUUCCAAUUACUCAUUCAAAUA